GACUCUGGUAUUGAUUGGUGCUUGCAUCAUGAUUUACAUUUGAGUGAGUGGCGAACUGGUGAGUAACACGUGGGAAACCUGCCCAGAAGCGGGGGAUAACACCUGGAAACAGAUGCUAAUACCGCAUAACAACUUGGACCGCAUGGUCCGAGCUUGAAAGAUGGCUUCGGCUAUCACUUUUGGAUGGUCCCGCGGCGUAUUAGCUAGAUGGUGGGGUAACGGCUCACCAUGGCAAUGAUACGUAGCCGACCUGAGAGGGUAAUCGGCCACAUUGGGACUGAGACACGGCCCAAACUCCUACGGGAGGCAGCAGUAGGGAAUCUUCCACAAUGGACGAAAGUCUGAUGGAGCAACGCCGCGUGAGUGAAGAAGGGUUUCGGCUCGUAAAACUCUGUUGUUAAAGAAGAACAUAUCUGAGAGUAACUGUUCAGGUAUUGACGGUAUUUAACCAGAAAGCCACGGCUAACUACGUGCCACCCCGCCCCCGUAAUACGUAGUGGCAAGCGUU
rnacentral:rRNA from 2 species